ensembl:lncRNA
UUUUUUUUGAAAAAUAACGACGUCUCUGAGGCGCGAAUUCCGACAGUGAGAGGAACGGCCGGAUACAGGAGACGGGAAGAAACAAGCCGAUUAUGUUCGCUUUAAUUAAGUGGUUGGAAGAUGUAAAAUUCUCAAUUCUGCCAACUGAACAUAUACGAGAUUUUAAUGAGGAUGAAUAAUUAGCCGGCAUGGAGGAAACGGACCUUUAUUUGGUGGAGUGGCGACAAGAAGCCACAAGGUGGGUGGCCGGUCUAUGAAGCCUCCAUCAUCAAGCUAGCAGCCCAUGAAAUCGAAUGCAGAUCUUCCUGAUGUGAGAUUUACAUAAAUAUGUCAAAGUCUCAACCUCAUGCUGCCCUCCCCCAUCUUCCUAAACCUGUGGAUACAAAUGCAGAUUUCCUUAAUGUUCAAUGGUGCGUGUUCUUCUAAUGGCUGCCUUCCCACUGGAGGUUUUGAUCCACAGCAAUUUAAAAGGAGGACAGAGCAAAACGGACAUCGGCGCAGAGCGAAGAACUGCCCUUCAUAAGGACACUAUGACAGCCAUAUAUAUGGCAGUAAGGAAGAGGUUUCCCACUGUGUCCAGAAGGGCUUUGAGGAUUGCAGUGAAAGCUGGGGGAACUGAGACUGCUGGAAAAGGAAAAGAAAUUACAUUUUAAGUAUGUUGACUUAUGUUCAUACAUUCACACACACAUAUACACAUACACACACAUAUGUAUAUAUAUAUAUACAUAUACACACACAUAUAUGUAUAUGUGUGUGUGUGUGUUUCUUUUAGAAUGUUUAAGUAUGUAAUGAGAAUAAAAUUAUAAAAUGAAUAUUCCUUGCUUGAUUGAUA